UGGUGCAUUUUAUAUAAUUCCAAUUGAUGAUAUUUCGCCUCACGCUCUCCUCCUACACUAUCUAUCUAUAUAUAAAUACACACACACUUUUUAAAACAAUAAGUCAACACAUUCCACAGUACCAAUAAAUUUAACAAAGACUAUUUAUUGAUGAAUUCCUUUCUCAAAUUCUUCAAAAUUUAAUUAAAAACAGUUACAGAUAAAAUUAUAUGAUCAAUAUAAUAGCGAGGAAUCCAAAAGUUUUCCCCUUUCAUAUUAAGUUUUUUUACACAGCAUAACCAACACUAAACAGAGCAUGAGUAAGAAGCAUUAUUCACUGUAUUCAAUUUCUUUUCCUUCUCUUCUUCUGGAAAAUCAGAAUUCCAAGAAGAGUGACUAAGAAAAACAAAUUCAG
rnacentral:misc_RNA from 1 species